rnacentral:rRNA from 1 species
UACGGAGGGGGCUAGCGUUGUUCGGAAUUACUGGGCGUAAAGCGCGCGUAGGCGGACCUGCAAGUCGGGGGUGAAAGCCCGAGGCUCAACCUCGGAACUGCCUUCGAUACUGCGGGUCUCGAGUCCGGGAGAGGUGAGUGGAAUUCCUGGUGUAGCGGUGAAAUGCGCAGAUAUCAGGAAGAAUAUCCGUGGCGAAGGCGGCUCUCUGGGACGGUACUGACGCUGAGACGCGAAAGCGUGGGGAGCGAACAGG